AUGCUCUGCACUCAUGUAGUUUCUAACAAUUCUUCCAUGUAGCUUUUAACAUUCUUCCACUUCAUGCUCUGCACUUGCAUAGUCUCUAACAAUUCUUUCAUAUAGCUUCUAAUAUUCUUCCACUCUGUGUUCCACACUUGUGUAGUCUCUAACAAUUCUUCUGUGUAGUUUUCAAUGAUUCCUCCAUCUCAUACUCUGCACUUAUAUAGUUUCUAACAAUUCUUAUGUAUAUCUCUUAAUAUUCUUUCACUUCACACUUCACUGUGGAGUGGUUUCUGAUAUUCUUCUGCUCUGAACUUUUCUCUAUAAGAAUCCUCUUCAUACAAUCUUUUCUUCUGAUUUCUUUUCUCUUUCUUUCCUUAAUCAAUUCAUAAUCUGUAAUUAGAAUAGUAUCAAAUCAUU
rnacentral:sRNA from 1 species